rnacentral:rRNA from 1 species
AUUGAACGCUGGCGGAAUGCUUCACACAUGCAAGUCGAACGGCAGCACGGACUUCGGUCUGGUGGCGAGUGGCGAACUGGUGAGUAAUACAUCGGAACGUGCCCAGUCGUGGGGGAUAACGUAGCGAAAGCUACGCUAAUACCGCAUACGAUCUAAGGAUGAAAGCGGGGGAUCGCAAGACCUCGCGCGAUUGGAGCGGCCGAUGGCAGAUUAGGUAGUUGGUAGGGUAAAGGCCUACCAAGCCGACGAUCUGUAGCUGGUCUGAGAGGAUGAUCAGCCACACUGGGACUGAGACGCGGCCCAGACUCCUACGGGAGUCAGCAGUGGGGAAUUUUGGACAAUGGGCGAAAGCCUGAUCCAGCCAUGCCGCGUGCAGGAUGAAGGCCUUCGGGUUGUAAACCGCUUUUGUCAGGGAAGAAAUCUUCUGGGCUAAUACCCUGGGAGGAUGACGGUACCUGAAGAAUAAGCACCGGCUAACUACGUGCCAGCAGCCGCCGUAA